AGAGUUUGAUCCUGGCUCAGGAUGAACGCUGGCGGCGUGCCUAAUACAUGCAAGUCGAGCGAACAGAUAAGGAGCUUGCUCCUUUGAAGUUAGCGGCGGACGGGUGAGUAACACGUGGGUAACCUACCUAUAAGACUGGGAUAACUUCGGGAAACCGGAGCUAAUACCGGAUAACAUUUAGAACCGCAUGGUUCUAAAGUGAAAGAUGGUUUUGCUAUCACUUAUAGAUGGACCCGCGCCGUAUUAGCUAGUUGGUAAGGUAACGGCUUACCAAGGCGACGAUACGUAGCCGACCUGAGAGGGUGAUCGGCCACACUGGAACUGAGACACGGUCCAGACUCCUACGGGAGGCAGCAGUAGGGAAUCUUCCGCAAUGGGCGAAAGCCUGACGGAGCAACGCCGCGUGAGUGAUGAAGGGUUUCGGCUCGUAAAGCUCUGUUAUUAGGGAAGAACAAAUGUGUAAGUAACUGUGCACAUCUUGACGGUACCUAAUCAGAAAGCCACGGCUAACUACGUG
rnacentral:rRNA from 1 species